rnacentral:rRNA from 1 species
AGAGUUUGAUCCUGGCUCAGGACGAACGCUGGCGGCGUGCUUAACACAUGCAAGUCGAACGGAAAGGCCCUUCGGGGUACUCGAGUGGCGAACGGGUGAGUAACACGUGGGUGAUCUGCCCUGCACUCUGGGAUAAGCCUGGGAAACUGGGUCUAAUACCGGAUAGGACCACAUGCUUCAUGGUGUGUGGUGCAAAGCUUUUGCGGUGUGGGAUGAGCCCGCGGCCUAUCAGCUUGUUGGUGGGGUAAUGGCCUACCAAGGCGACGACGGGUAGCCGGCCUGAGAGGGUGACCGGCCACACUGGGACUGAGAUACGGCCCAGACUCCUACGGGAGGCAGCAGUGGGGAAUAUUGCACAAUGGGCGCAAGCCUGAUGCAGCGACGCCGCGUGAGGGAUGACGGCCUUCGGGUUGUAAACCUCUUUCAGUAGGGACGAAGCGAAAGUGACGGUACCUACAGAAGAAGGACCGGCCAACUACGUGCCAGCAGCCGCGGUAAUACGUAGGGUCCGAGCGUUGUCCGGAAUUACUGGGCGUAAAGAGCUCGUAGGUGGUUUGUCGCGUUGUUCGUGAAAACUCACAGCUUAACUGUGGGCGUGCGGGCGAUACGGGCAGACUAGAGUACUGCAGGGGAGACUGGAAUUCCUGGUGUAGCGGUGGAAUGCGCAGAUAUCAGGAGGAACACCGGUGGCGAAGGCGGGUCUCUGGGCAGUAACUGACGCUGAGGAGCGAAAGCGUGGGUAGCGAACAGGAUUAGAUACCCUGGUAGUCCAA